rnacentral:pre_miRNA from 1 species
AGUCUAUACAGUAAGAAACUAGUGUCCAUUUAGUCUAUACAGUUCUGUAUAGACUAAAUGGACACUAGUUCCUUACUGUAUAGA